AACUAAUUCACCAAAUCUUUCAGCAUCACGUUCACGGCGUGAGAAGAAAUCUCAGAAAGGAAGACAAGAAGCACUGGAACGUUUGAAAAAAGCAAAAGCUGGGGAGAAAAUAAAAUAUGAAGUGGAGAAGGUUGCAAGUGUUUAUGAUGAAAUUGAUGAAGAACAAUAUUCUAAGAUUGUCAGAGAACGACAGGAUGAUGACUGGAUUGUGGAUGAUGAUGGAGUUGGUUACGUAGAAGAUGGGAGGGAGAUUUUUGAUGAAGACUUAGAAGAUGAUGCUCUUGAUUCUAACAAAAGUG